UACAGAGGGUGCGAGCGUUGUCCGGAAUCACUGGGCGUAAAGGGCGCGUAGGCGGCUUGAUAAGCGUGCGGUGAAAGCCCGGGGCUCAACCCCGGGUCGGCCGUGCGAACUGUCGAGCUGGAGCACUGUAGAGGCAGGUGGAAUUCCGGGUGUAGCGGUGGAAUGCGUAGAGAUCCGGAAGAACACCGGUGGCGAAGGCGGCCUGCUGGGCAGUGGCUGACACUGAGGCGCGACAGCGUGGGGAGCAAACAGG
rnacentral:rRNA from 1 species